AGUGAAUAGAUACCCAGGUAGUCCACGCCGUAAACGAUGAGUGCUUGGUGUAGCGGGUAUCGACCCUGCUGUGCCGAAAGUCAACACAUUAAGCACUCCGCCUGGGGAGUACGGUCGCAAGGUACUGAAAACUCAAAGGAAGUUGACGGGGCCCGCACAAGCGGUGGAGCAUGUUAGGUUUAAUUACGAAGACAACGCGAAGAACCUUACCCUGGGUUUGUAAGUGCAGUGGAAAGGUCCCUCAGAGAGUGAGGUCCCCUCGUUCGAGGCCGCUGUAUAGGUGCUGCAUGGCUGUCGUCAGCUCGUGUCGUGAGAUG
rnacentral:rRNA from 1 species